ACUAGUGAUUUCCGUAGGUGAACCUGCGGAAGGAUCAUUAACGUUACUCAUACAAAACCCUCACCGGUUAUGUACUGUGAACCUUAACCAAUCUUACAGUGGGGUAGGCUUGGACCUUUAAAUGGCGCUGUGUCGUUCGUGCAGAGCUCCAGCCCCGCUCGUUGUGUUUUCUUUCUACACUUGAAGAACUGAAACUGCGUCGUGACGACGUAAAGAUAAGAAAAAUGAGACAACUUUUAACGGUGGAUCUCUUGGCUCGUGCAUCGAUGAAGAACGCAGCCAGGUGCGAUAAGUAGUGUGAAUUGCAGAAUUCAGUGAAUCAUCGAAUAUUUGAACGCAAAUGGCGCUCUUGGGUUCUCCCAGGAGCAUGUCUGUCUGAGUGUCGGUUUCCAAACUAUCGCACGAUGCUUUUCGUGCGGCGUUGGGGCGUCACGAAACCCCGGUUCGUGUCCCUCGAAAUGCAGCGAGACUCGGUUGCGACGUGUAUGCAUCGCGACUCAAGAGGCCAAAAAUCUUUUCGUCCUCUGGGUGGUGGUGCUUGCGUCCGGCAGGGUCGUCAAAAACACAAGAAAAAGAGAACGUUCGUUCGUGCUGUUUUUCUUCCAUCUUGACCUCAGAUCAGGCAAGGCUACCCGCUGAAUUUAAGCAUAUCA
rnacentral:rRNA from 1 species